GACGAGCGCUGGCGGCGUGCUUAACACAUGCAAGUCGAGCGGUAAGGCCCUUUCGGGGGUACACGAGCGGCGGACGGGUGAGUAACACGUGGGUGACCUGCCCUUAGCUCUGGGAUAAGCCUGGGAAACUGGGUCUAAUACCGGAUAUGACUCCAUGACGCAUGUUGUGGGGUGGAAAGCCUUGUGCGGCUAGGGAUGGGCCUGCGGCCUAUCAGCUUGUUGGUGGGGUGANGGCCUACCAAGGCGACGACGGGUAGCCGGCCUGAGAGGGCGACCGGCCACACUGGGACUGAGACACGGCCCAGACUCCUACGGGAGGCAGCAGUGGGGAAUCUUGCGCAAUGGGCGAAAGCCUGACGCAGCGACGCCGCGUGGGGAUGACGGCCUCGGUUGUAAC
rnacentral:rRNA from 1 species